GUCCUCGUCAUCACUAAUAGAGAUCUGAGCUGACUUUGCAGUAGUUUUCUUCUUGGCAGGUGCUCUCUUGCUAGGUUCUUUCUUCUUGGCCGCUUGUACUUCCUGCACUUCAGUUUCCAUGGCUGAAACUGAAAAGUUAAAAGAGAAGCAGCAAGACGAUCUUUAAGCUCGAGGACUUCAUCAUCGUCGUCCUCGUCAGGAACUGCUGCUUUACCCUGUAGUUGUUUCCGCAGGAGAACAAAGUCAAUUUAGUUCUGAGGGGCCAAAUUGAUGGUGGGAGUUUUUAAAGGACAACUAAAAUGAAUGAGCCGAAGUGUUACCUUCUUCUUAGCAGGAGCUUUUCUUGGAGCUGCCUUGCCUUUUGGCUUCACCACCGGGUUAUUUGCUGCUAAGCGAAAAUCAUUGAGAUUAAUACUAAAACAUAAUGCAAAGAAAAUAAAACCAAAAACCUAACAAUGGAGCUUCUGAAGAGGGGUGAAUAAUGAACUUACCAACUUCCGUUGUUGUAGAACUAUAUGUUGUGUCCAUACUUUCGGUGACAGUUUCCACAUUGCUGGUUUUCUUACUGUUACGUGGAGCUUUUGGUGCAUUUCUUGA